rnacentral:sRNA from 1 species
ACAGCAUCCCACAUCCUGUGCCUGCCCGACGACUCGCUUCGUGUCCUCCUCUGUUACACACUGGAGCCCCACCACAUGCUCUCUUCACCAUCGUUCCCCUUGUCCCUGUCACACACCCCAUUUCCCCAAACACAGAUGGGCUUCCUACACCACAGGCCCUGGGUUCCCCAUUAAACGCCUCAUGCUCCCGCCUCACUGUCCCUACUUGGGGUCCCUAGGCUCAUCCCUAGCUGUGUGCCUCGUUCAGGCCUGCUUUUGCUGUGUCCACAGAGUGCAUCGGAUGGCUUCUGGAAAUCUGUGGCCACUCGAGUGCCCAAGGAGCCCCCUGAGAUUCGAAUCCUCAACCCAUAUUUCAUCCAGGAGGCCGCCUUCACCCUCAUUGGCCUGCCCUUCAACAAUGGCCUCAUGGGCCGGGGGAACAUCCCUACCCUUGGCAGUGUGGCAGUGACCAUGGCACUACAUGGCUGUGACGAAGUGGCAGUCGCAGGAUUUGGCUAUGACAUGAACACACCCAAUGCACCCCUGCACUACUAUGAGACCGUUCGUAUGGCAGCCAUCAAAGAGUCCUGGACGCACAAUAUUCAGCGAGAGAAAGAGUUUCUGCGGAAGCUGGUGAAAGCUCGCGUCAUCACUGAUCUAAGCAGUGGCAUCUGAGUGGGCCCAGCACAUGGCCAUAGAGGCCCAGGCACCACCAGGAGCAGCAGCCAGCACCACCUACACAGGAGUCUUCAGACCCAGAGAAGGACGGUGCCAAGGGCCCCAGGGGCAGCGAGGCCUUGGUGGAGCAGCCAGAGCUGUGCCUGCUCAGCAGCCAGUCUUAGAGACCAGCACUCAGCCUCAUUCAGCAUGGGUCCUUGAUGUCAGAGGGCCAGCAGU